UGGGGAAUCUUGCGCAAUGGGCGAAAGCCUGACGCAGCAACGCCGCGUGGGGGAUGAAGGCCUUCGGGUUGUAAACCCCUUUCAGUGGGAACGAAAAUGACGGUACCCACAGAAGAAGCCCCGGCCAACUACGUGCCAGCAGCCGCGGUGAUACGUAGGGGGCGAGCGUUGUCCGGAUUUAUUGGGCGUAAAGAGCUCGUAGGCGGCUUGGUAAGUCGGGUGUGAAACCUNNAGGCUCAACCUGGAGACGCCACUCGAUACUGCCCUGGCUAGAGUCCGGUAGGGGAUCACGGAAUUCCUGGUGUAGCGGUGAAAUGCGCAGAUAUCAGGAGGAACACCAGUGGCGAAGGCGGUGAUCUGGGCCGGUACUGACGCUGAGGAGCGAAAGCGUGGGGAGCGAACAGGAUUAGAUACCCUGGUAGUCCACGCCGUAAACGUUGGGCACUAGGUGUGGGGCCUUAUCGACGGGUUCCGUGCCGCAGCUAACGCAUUAAGUGCCCCGCCUGGGGA
rnacentral:rRNA from 1 species